rfam:Oryza rufipogon genomic scaffold, chr03
AAUAAGAGUAGUUGUGGGUUUUAGUGUUCAACUUUGACCAUCCGUCUUGUUUGAAAUAUUUUUAUGAUUAAUAUUUUUUGUUGUUAUUAGAUAAUAAAAUAUGAAUAGUACUUUACGUGUGACUUAACUUUUAAAAUUUUUUAAUAAAUUUUUCAAAUAAGACGGACGGUCAAACGUUAGGGACAUAAACUUUAGCUGCACUUAUA